AUUGAACGCUGGCGGCAGGCCUAACACAUGCAAGUCGAGCGGAUGAGGAAAGCUUGCUUUUCGAUUCAGCGGCGGACGGGUGAGUAACGCCUAGGAAUCUGCCUGUUAGUGGGGGAUAACUCGGGGAAACUCGGGCUAAUACCGCAUACGUCCUACGGGAGAAAGUGGGGGAUCUUCGGACCUCACGCUAACAGAUGAGCCUAGGUCGGAUUAGCUAGUAGGUGAGGUAAUGGCUCACCUAGGCGACGAUCCGUAACUGGUCUGAGAGGAUGAUCAGUCACACUGGAACUGAGACACGGUCCAGACUCCUACGGGAGGCAGCAGUGGGGAAUAUUGGACAAUGGGCGAAAGCCUGAUCCAACCAUGCCGCGUGUGUGAAGAAGGUCUUCGGAUUGUAAAGCACUUUAAGUUGGGAGGAAGGGUAUUCACCUAAUACGUGGGUACUUUGACGUUACCAACAGAAUAAGCACCGGCUAACUCUGUGCCAGCAGCCGCAGUAACAC
rnacentral:rRNA from 1 species